rnacentral:tRNA from 1 species
UAUGGCAGAAUAGUGCAAUGGAUUUAAGCCCCAUAUAUGAAAUAAUAAUUUUUAUUAAAA